rnacentral:misc_RNA from 1 species
AACGCACAUUGCGCCCCUUGGUAUUCCGAGGGGCAUGCCUAUUCGAGCGUCAUUAUCACCCCUCAAGCUUUAGCUUGGUGUUGAGGCCUGCUGUCAAAGGCAGCCUCUAAAACCAGUGGCAGUGCUGUCAGGCUCUAAGCGUAGUAAAAUUCAUCGCUAUAGAGUCCUGGUGGACACUCGCCAAAACCCCCCCAUUUUUAAUGAUUGACCUCGGAUUAGGUAGGGAUACCCGCUGAACUUAA